GCCUCAAUACAACGUACACACACACUCCUCGGGUAAUAGCGGCAGAGUCGCAUUUUGCGACAAAUUAUGCGACAUUCAAAAUUUGCGUGAAAGUGGUUCCAAAUUAGGCGCGAAUAUUUUGAAUAUGAUUUGAAAGUUCAUAAAUAAUGU